GAUUGAUUGCUCAGUCGGUAGAGGGUGAGACUCUCCAUCUCAGGAUUGUGGGUUUGAGCCCGACAUUGGGCA